UUAUAAAUACACAUAUACAUAUCUGUGUAUGUAUAUGUGCAUAGUUCUGUAUACACAUACAGACAUAUGGGUGUGUUGUAACAUCAUUCAAUUAGCAUCACCUGUUCUCUUUUUUUGGUGGAAUACACUGUUUUUAUUAUUCUACAGAGAAGGGUACAUCACAAUUGAUGUCUAGACUUGCCCAAGUAACUUUCUCUCUCCAGCAGGUUCUGCAAGUUCUUGGGUUUGGAAAUUUCCUUCCUGCUCACCUCCACUGACAGCAUGUUCACCUCACCUUAGGCCCUCUGGUUUUAUGCUCCAAAAAUGUGAUGAGCCUAAAGAUAAUUUUUCUCUCAGGAAAACAAUAAUGACUCGAUCACUGAUACACUAUGGAUUCAUACAGAAUGGUGAGUCUAUUUGAUUUGUCUAUUAACCUGGAAGAGCACAUUGAAUAUUUUUUCUUUUUUAGAUUAAGUACAGGUACACAUUGAUCUUUUACUGAAAGUUAAAAAAAAAACAUUUAAAGAUACAUAUAAAUAAGAACAAAGUACUUUUAUCUAGCCCUGGAUCCCAAUAAUUUUUUUAGAACUCUCUUUUCCUAAAAGGUUUAUAGUGUAACCUUUUAUAUUUAAAUUUGCAAACAUUUCAAGUUAAUUAGUGUAUAAAGUGUGAGGUUUAUGCUGAGAUUUUGAGCCUAUAAAUGUUUACUUUCUCCAGUAACAUUUGUUAAAAAGACUAUUCUUUCUCCUUCAAUUGCUUUUGUACCAUUGUCAAAAAUGAAUUGGGCAUAUUUACUUGUGUCAAUUUCUGAGUUCUUUAUUCUGUUCUGCUGACCUAUGUCUCUAUCUCUCCACCAAUAGCAUGUGCCUUUUCAUAUAAACUUAAAAUAGGUCUAUCUAUAUGCAUAAAAAUAUGUAGUUGGAGCUUUUAUGACUGUCGUUAAAUCUACCGAUCAAUUUGAAGAGAGUUGACAUCGUUGCUAUCUUGUGUCUUCCAAACCAUUAAUAAGGUUGGAAACACUGUUUAUGUGGAAUCCAUGAAUGGACACUUUGGAGCCCAUUAAGGCCUCCAUGAUAAAAACAAGAAACAACCUAUCUGUGAAAGCACUUAACAACGUGUGGAUUCAUCUCACAGAGCACCGCUGGGCUAGGGUCUCCCUGCCCGAGCUGGUCUCAGCAAGUGGCAUCCAUCAUGCAGGCUCAAAUCCUGGUCAAAGGGUCACCAGAGCAAUGGUUGGAACCGAAAACUAGCUGGAGGACAUCCGGGUACUCUUAGAGCAAUCCUGUGGUGAGUAACAAGGGGAGCUCAGAAGCAUCAGGGUAACAAUAGGGCAAAGUUUGGGGUCUGGUUCAUUCCACCUUGGAACUUUUUCACACUGAUGAUAAGGAAGGAGAGUAUACAUUAUAAGUAACAGAAGAGGUUACACAGCAGGUUUAUUUGCCAGCUAAAGCUAAAGCCGUGAAGGCAGGAGAGGUUCAUCCCUACCCUUCUGUACCCCCUCAUAAUCAUUUUGAAGAAAAUGGCCCCCCAGAUAGUUCUUUUGCAGAGGACACUGGACGAAAAGUAGUUGCCCCAGUGACUGUUCCAGCAGUGCCUCGAGCCACAGCUCUUAGUUCUAUUCAGACAAGAAUUCAGCAAACUGUCUUAGACAAGAGGGUGAUUUAGAGGCUUGGCAGUUCCUUGUUAGAAUACAUCCCCUGGAUCAAGAGGGAAAUAUUACAGCUACAUUUGAGACUUUUCCUUUUAAAUUACUCAAAGAAUUAAAAUAAGCAAUAAGUGAGUAUGGACCAGAUUCUCCUUUUGUAAUGGAACUGUUAAAGAAAGUUACUGUUUCCAGUUGAAUGAUUCUUACUGACUGGGACACUCUUACUUGAGCUUGUCUAACUCCUGCUCAGUUCUUACGAUUUAAAACUUGGUGGGCAGAUGAACCUUCCAUUCAGGCUGCUCUCAAUGCCCAGGUCCAACCUCAAAUUAAUAUAACUGCAGACCAACUUUUAGGGGUUGGUGGCUGGGCUGGUUUAGAUGCACAACUGCUCAUGCAGGAUGAUGCCAUAGAACAACUUAGAGCAGGGUGCAUUAGAGCUUGGGAAAAAAAUUACUUCAAGUGGGGUGCAAUACCAUUCCUUUAGUGCUAUAAACCAGGGACCCAGAGAACCGUACGUUGAUUUUAUAGCUGGGUUACAGGAGUCUUUUAAAAAGAUAUUGCAGAUUCAGCUGUUCAGGAUAUAGUGUUGCAGUUAUUAUCUUUCAACAAUGCUAAUCCUGAUUGCCAGACUGCUCUGCGACCUAUCAGAGGGAAAGCAUAUUUAGUUGAUUAUAUCAAGGCCUGUGAUGGUAUCAGAGGUAAUCUGCAUGAAGCUACCUUGUUGGCACAGGCAAUGGCAGGACUGAGAGUGGA